rnacentral:rRNA from 1 species
UACGUAGGGACCAAGCGUUGUCCGGAAUCAUUGGGCGUAAAGAGCGUGUAGGCGGCUUGUUAAGUCUUGCGUGAAAUCUCGGGGCUCAACCCCGAGCGGUCGUGAGAAACUGGCAGGCUAGAGUGCGGGAGAGGAGAGUGGAAUUCCUGGUGUAGCGGUGAAAUGCGCAGAUAUCAGGAAGAACACCCGUGGCGAAGGCGGCUCUCUGGAAUGCAACUGACGCUGAGACGCGAAAGCGUGGGGAGCGAUCCGG